CACAAGCAGCGGAGCGUGUGGUUUAAUUCGUUGCUACACGAAGAACCUUACCUGGGUUUGACAUAUAGGUUGUAGGGAACUGAAAGGGACCGACCCUUCGGGAGCCUAUACAGGUGUUGCAUGGCUGUCGUCAGCUCGUGUCGUGAGAUGUUCGGUUAAGUCCGCUAACGAGCGCAACCCUCGUCGUAUGUUAUAUGUGUCAUACGAGACUGCCGGUAAAAAGCCGGAGGAAGGUGAGGAUGAUGUCAAGUCAGCAUGACCUUUAUAUCCAGGGCUACACACACGCUACAAUGGUCUGUACAAUGGGUAGCCAAGCCGCGAGGCGGAGCCAAUCCUGAAAGCAGGCCUCAGUUCAGAUUGCAGUCUGCAAUUCGCCUGCAUGAAGUCGGAAUCGCUAGUAAUCGCAGGUCAGCAUACUGCGGUGAAUACGUUCCCGGGCCUU
rnacentral:rRNA from 1 species